ensembl:snRNA
AUUUCCCUUAAUAAAGAUGGAAGUGAUUCUGGUGACCCUUAAAACACACAUAUGAUUAAGGAAUUGCCAACAACUUCAUGGAACCUAACCAUGGUUGUUA